GCGGUAUGGCCAAGUGGUAAGGCAGUGGAUUGCAAAUCCUCGACCCUCAGUUCGAAUCUGAGUG
rnacentral:tRNA from 1 species